UACGUAGGGGGCAAGCGUUGUCCGGAAUCAUUGGGCGUAAAGAGCGUGUAAGCGGCCCGGUAAGUCCGCUGUGAAAGUCGGGGGCUUAACCCUCGGAUGCCGGUGGAUACUGUCGGGCUUGAGUACGGAAGAGGCGAGUGGAAUUCCUGGUGUAGCGGUGAAAUGCGCAGAUAAUCAGGAGGAACACCAAUUGCGAAGGCAGCUCGCUGGGACGUUACUGACGCUGAGACGCGAAAGCGUGGGGAGCAAACAGG
rnacentral:rRNA from 1 species